CAGUCGCCGCGGGAAUACGAAGGGUGCAAGCGUUAAUCGGAAUUACUGGGCGUAAAGCGUGCGUAGGUGGUGGUUUAAGUCCGUUGUGAAAGCCCUGGGCUCAACCUGGGAAUUGCAGUGGAUACUGGGUCACUAGAGUGUGGUAGAGGAUAGUGGAAUUUCCGGUGUAGCAGUGAAAUGCGUAGAGAUCGGAAGGAACAUCUGUGGCGAAGGCGACUAUCUGGGCCAACACUGACACUGAGGCACGAAAGCGUGGGGAGCAAACAGGAUUAGAUACCCCAGUAGUCCCUGUCUCUUAUAC
rnacentral:rRNA from 1 species